rnacentral:rRNA from 1 species
CCUACGGGCGGCAGCAGUGAGGAAUAUUGGUCAAUGGGCGUAACCCUGAACCAGCCAAGUAGCGUGAAGGAUGACGGUUCUAUGGAUUGUAAACCUCUUUUAUGCGGGGAUAAACUGUGUGACGUGUCCUGUUUUGUAUGUACCUUAUGAAUAAGGAUCGGCUAAUUCCGUGCCAUCAGCCGCGGUAAUACGGAGGAUCCGGGCGUUAUCCGGAUUUAUUGGGUUUAAAGGGUGCGUAGGCGGCCCUUUAAGUCAGCGGUGAAAUUCUGUGGCUCAACCGUAGAACUGCCGGGGAAACUGGGGGGCUUGAGUGUGUCGGAGGUAGGCGGAAUGCGUGGUGUAGCGGUGAAAUGCUUAGAUAUCACGCAGAACUCCGAUUGCGAAGGCAGCCUGCCAUGCCAUUACUGACGCUGAUGCACGAAAGCGUGGGGAUCAAACAGGAUUAGAUACCCCUGUAGUC